ensembl:lncRNA LINC01837 long intergenic non-protein coding RNA 1837
ACAGCAGCAGCAGCAGUUCAGCUGGCAGAGGUGUGCUCUUGAACCACUCUUCACAUGUCCAUAUUAUCUUCUGGGUAUUCUCCUGAGCUCAGAGGCACCAGGGCCCCAGCGAAGUCACCUCCCUGUUCUCUCUCUUCUUCCUCCUGGCCCCAGGUGCUGUUGCUGAGCUGGGAGUGGAAAGCACAUUUUCUCUUCAUGAUAGAUGGUGUACCUGCACGUGGGAAGGAAUAUUCCUGAUUUCCACUGGAUGACUUUGACUGGUAUGAUUUCAUUCUCUGAAAGUGUUAACCAGGGUGCAGCAUGGCCAGAAACCAUUCCGAGCCUCAUGAAGUGGGCAAGUCAGGUUUGGUCAUUUUUGGUAAUGUCAUUGCAUGUACACAGUUUAAGACAGAGCAUCUGGUGAUUCUCGGACCUUCAAGCAAGUGUCACAUCUCAGGGUGUGAGGUUUGGAGGGCCUCUCGUCAAAACUUUGGAGGGCUCUGUCAGUUUGAAAAGAACAUGACCUUUAAAUUGUAUCAGUAUGUUUGCUGGUGCAUAAGGGAGAGGAAAAGGUUCGUCCUGAUGGAAAACCACUCAGAAGCCAAGGAGUAAUUCAGAGGGAACCAGCCCAGGAAGAAUCAAGAAAGCUGCCCACAGUGUCAUUCUUCAGCUGAGAAAAGAGAGAGUUGACUAACUCCUCGGACUGGAGUGAGGACUCACAGAGGUGGUGAGAAGCCAUCCUCUCUUGAAUGGGGGCUCCCACUGUACAUCUGGCACCCACUUCACAGAUUCUGGGGGAUGUCAACACCAGCACUGCUGAGCUGUGUGACCUUGAGCAAGACAGUUAGCCUCUCUGAACCUCAGUGUCCUUCUCUGUAGGCUGGAGAUUGAUAUACCUUCAUUAUCGGGGUAUGAGAGUGUUAUAAAUCCAUGAACUGGAAGAUGCUUUCUUAUAACUCAGAGAAAAGAGAUGAAAAUGAAUCAAAGAACAGGAAGGAGACAAGCUCAGGAGGUAAGUCCAGAAAAUUCAAAUCACAUGCGCUAGAAAUUCCAGAAGGAAAUAGCAGAGCAGACCAA